rnacentral:rRNA from 1 species
GGGGAUGACGUCAAGUCCUCAUGGCCCUUAUGCCCAGGGCUACACACGUGCUACAAUGGCCGGUACAAAGAGCUGCGAACUCGCGAGAGUAAGCCAAUCUCAAAAAGCCGGUCUCAGUACGGAUUGGAGUCUGCAACUCGACUCCAUGAAGGCGGAAUCGCUAGUAAUCGUGGAUCAGCACGCCACGGUGAAUACGUUCCCGGGCCUU